UACGGAGGGUGCAAGCGUUAAUCGGAAUUACUGGGCGUAAAGCGCACGUAGGCGGAUCGAUCAGUCAGGCGUGAAAUCCCCGGGCUUAACCUGGGAAUGGCACUUGAAACUACGAUGCUGGAGUAUGGCAGAGGGAGGUGGAAUUCCACGUGUAGCGGUGAAAUGCGUAGAGAUGUGGAGGAACACCGAUGGCGAAGGCAGCCUCCUGGGCCAAUACUGACGCUCAUGCACGAAAGCGUGGGGAGCAAACAGG
rnacentral:rRNA from 1 species